rnacentral:rRNA from 1 species
GAUGAACGCUGGCGGCGUGCCUAAUACAUGCAAGUCGAGCGAACAGACGAGGAGCUUGCUCCUUCGACGUUAGCGGCGGACGGGUGAGUAACACGUAGGUAACCUACCUAUAAGACUGGGAUAACUUCGGGAAACCGGAGCUAAUACCGGAUAAUAUUUCGAACCGCAUGGUUCGAUAGUGAAAGAUGGCUUUGCUAUCACUUAUAGAUGGACCUGCGCCGUAUUCGCUAGUUGGUAAGGUAACGGCUUACCAAGGCAACGAUACGUAGCCGACCUGAGAGGGUGAUCGGCCACACUGGAACUGAGACACGGUCCAGACUCCUACGGGAGGCAGCAGUAGGGAAUCUUCCGCAAUGGGCGAAAGCCUGACGGAGCAACGCCGCGUGAGUGAUGAAGGUCUUCGGAUCGUAAAACUCUGUUAUUAGGGAAGAACAAACGUGUAAGUAACUGUGCACGUCUUGACGGUACCUAAUCAGAAAGCCACGGCUAACUACGUG